rnacentral:tRNA from 1 species
GCGGCCGUCGUCUAGCCUGGACUAGGACGUAGGCCCUCCAAGCCUGCGACCCGGGUGGCCACCGCGUUUAGCCAGGGAAUUCAAAUCCCGGCGGCCGCACCA